GACAUCCAGAGAAUUUAGCAGAGAUGCUUUAGUGCCUUCGGGAACUCUGAGACAGGUGCUGCAUGGCUGUCGUCAGCUCGUGUUGUGAAAUGUUGGGUUAAGUCCCGCAACGAGCGCAACCCUUAUCCUUUGUUGCCAGCACGUAAUGGUGGGAACUCAAAGGAGACUGCCGGUGAUAAACCGGAGGAAGGUGGGGAUGACGUCAAGUCAUCAUGGCCCUUACGAGUAGGGCUACACACGUGCUACAAUGGCGCAUACAAAGAGAAGCGACCUCGCGAGAGCAAGCGGACCUCAUAAAGUGCGUCGUAGUCCGGAUUGGAGUCUGCAACUCGACUCCAUGAAGUCGGAAUCGCUAGUAAUCGUAAAUCAGAAUGUUACGGUGAAUACGUUCCCGGGCCUUGUACACACCGCCCGUCACACCAUGGGAGUGGGUUGCAAAAGAAGUAGAUAGCUUAACCUUCGGGAGGGCGUUUACCACUUUGUGAUUCAUGACUGGGGUGAAGUCGUAACAAGGUAAGCGUAGUGCU
rnacentral:rRNA from 1 species